rnacentral:rRNA from 1 species
GAUGAACGCUGGCGGCGUGCCUAAUACAUGCGAGUCGAGCGAACGGACGAGAAGCUUGCUUCUCUGAUGUUAGCGGCGGACGGGUGAGUAACACGUGGAUAACCUACCUAUAAGACUGGGAUAACUUCGGGAAACCGGAGCUAAUACCGGAUAAUAUUUUGAACCGCAUGGUUCAAAAGUGAAAGACGGUCUUGCUGUCACUUAUAGAUGGAUCCGCGCUGCAUUAGCUAGUUGGUAAGGUAACGGCUUACCAAGGCAACGAUGCAUAGCCGACCUGAGAGGAGGAUCGGCCACACUGGAACUGAUACACGGUCCAGACUCCUACGGGAGGCAGCAGUAGGGAAUCUUCCGCAAUGGGCGAAAGCCUGACGGAGCAACGCCGCGUGAGUGAUGAAGGUCUUCGGAUCGUAAAACUCUGUUAUUAGGGAAGAACAUAUGUGUAAGUAACUGUGCACAUCUUGACGUUACCUAAUCAGAAAGCCACGGCUAACUACGUG